rnacentral:rRNA from 1 species
UACGGAGGGUGCAAACGUUGCUCGGAAUCAUUGGGCGUAAAGCGCACGUAGGCGGCCUGUUAAGUCGGGUGUGAAAGCCCUGGGCUCAACCCAGGAAGUGCACUCGAAACUGGCGGGCUUGAAUAUGGAAGAGGGUCGCGGAAUUCCCGGUGUAGAGGUGAAAUUCGUAGAGAUCGGGAAGAACACCAGUGGCGAAGGCGGCCGGCUGGGGGCGCCCUGACGCUGAGGCGCGAGAGCGUGGGGAGCAAACCGG